rnacentral:misc_RNA from 1 species
AAUCCGAGAAUUUCACCUCUGACGCUGGAAUACAAAUGCCCCCAACCGUCCCUCUUAAUCAUUACUCGGCUCUCACAAACCAACAAAAUAGAAACCAAGUCCUAUUCUAUUAUUCCAUGCUAAUGUAUUCACGGCAAACGCCUGCUUUGAACACUCUAAUUUUUUCACAGUAAACGGUGGCGCCGACACGCCGCGACAGCAAAGCCACGACGCGCCGCCCUCCACAAAAGAACACCCCAGCGCCGCACGCACUACGCGCACAGCGCGGGCUGCCCCAAAAUCCGACUACGAGCGUUUUAACUGCAACAACUUUGGUAUACGCUUACAGAGCUGGAAUUACC